rnacentral:rRNA from 1 species
UCUACGGGUGGCAGCAGUGAGGAAUAUUGGUCAAUGGACGAGAGUCUGAACCAGCCAAGUAACGUGAAGGAUGACUGCCCUAUGGGUUGUAAACUUCUUGUAUAUGGGAAUAAAAUGUUCCACGUGUGGGAUUGUGUAUGUACCAUAUGAAUAAGGAUCGGCUAACUCCGUGCCAGCAGCCGCGGCAAUACGGAGGAUCCGAGCGGUAGCCGGAUUUAUUGGGUUGAAAGGGAGCGUAGGUGGAUUGGUAAGGCAGUUGUGAAAGUUUGCGGCUCAACCAUAAAAUUGCAGUUGAGACUGGCAGGUUUGAGUACAGUAGAGUUGGGCGGAAUUCUGGUUUUCGCGGUGAAUGCU